GACGAACGCUGGCGGCGUGCUUAACACAUGCAAGUCGAACGGAAAGGCCCUGCUUUUGUGGGGUGCUCGAGUGGCGAACGGGUGAGUAACACGUGAGUAACCUGCCCUUGACUUUGGGAUAACUUCAGGAAACUGGGGCUAAUACCGGAUAGGAGCUCCUGCUGCAUGGUGGGGGUUGGAAAGUUUCGGCGGUUGGGGAUGGACUCGCGGCUUAUCAGCUUGUUGGUGGGGUAGUGGCUUACCAAGGCUUUGACUGGUAGCCGGCCUGAGAGGGUGACCGGCCACAUUGGGACUGAGAUACGGCCCAGACUCCUACGGGAGGCAGCAGUGGGGAAUAUUGCACAAUGGGCGGAAGCCUGAUGCAGCAACGCCGCGUGCGGGAUGACGGCCUUCGGGCUGUAAACCGCUUUCGCCUGUGACGAAGCGUGAGUGACGGUAAUGGGUAAAGAAGCACCGGCUAACUACGUG
rnacentral:rRNA from 1 species